GCACUGUCUGAAUGAGUUUUGCCACAAUUGAUAUCCUGUUUGCUGAGCCAUUGCAGCCUUCUACAACUUACUGUUAGCAUCUGCUUUAAGUCUUCUAUGUGCAUAAACUGCAGCCUACUUACUUAAUUUUGACCAGGAGAUAAUCUUACCUUCGCAUUUCAUGUUCCACUUAUAUUCCUCUCUAUACUGUUCAUAUUUCUAUCUUAUGUCAG